GAACGCACAUUGCGCCCCUUGGUAUUCCGGGGGGCAUGCCUGUUCGAGCGUCAUUUCAACCCUCCAGCUUGCUGGGUCUUGGGCUCUGCCGGUCACCCGGCUUGCCUUAAAAUCAGUGGCGGUGCCAUCGAGCUUUACGCGUAGUAAUUUUUUCUCGCGUCUGAGUCUUGGUGUGUGUCUUGCCAGCAACCCCAAAUUUUUUAUGGUUGACCUCGGAUCAGGUAGGGAUACCCGCUGAACUUAAG
rnacentral:misc_RNA from 1 species